rnacentral:lncRNA from 1 species
GUGAAGUUGUACGUGUGCCCGUGCGAUAACGUCAGUGGAAACUGCCCCCCCCCCCAUAAAUGAGGGAAAUACAGAAGUUGGAGCACUAAAAGCCAGUAAGAAUCCGCUUUACAUACACUUCAGACAUUUAUUAGCAGCUUUCUGGAUUUAACUACAAAUGCUAAAUUUCUCCUUGUCCCAAGACGCGCACAAUACUUCUUAACAAUGAAAUAAGAGAAGGAAAAAAUGAAAAAAUGAAAAGAAAAGGUAAACCAAAACAAACUGUUCCAUGUUCCACAUAAGUCUUUGGAGCUCCUUUUCCUGAUGAAUUCAUCCUGGGACUUUCUAAAGUUCCUCGUUUCCUAGGACGUGGCGAAACUUUCCUUAUCCAAGGCACUGUCUUUUCUCUCUUGGUGUUUUGGGGAUGGGUGUACACAUUAACCUUUUUGUCCUUUAAAGAAAAAAAGGUCAUUAAAGACAGCUAACAUGAUUCUUUUAGUAGUAGCCUUCAGUGUUUGUACUUUAGCUUUUUCAAUUCAGAAGUGGACGUUUUGGUUGUAUAGAAAUAGCAAUCUACUUUGAUGUUCAGUAGGUCAAAAAGGAGAGGGCUUUUUUUUUUUUUUUUUUUUUUUUGAGAAAAAGCAGAUUGGCUUGUGUGCUAAGUAAGGAAGACCCAAUUAUUAAGUAAGAACUUAAAUGGACAAGUAGAGUGUUUAAUAUAUUAAACCACCAAAUCAAAUUAUGUACAGUAGUCAGACCUCUCAUUUUUUUGUCACAUUCCUAUUUCUUUUCAUAUUCUUGCAAACAGUAUUACCUAAGACUAGAUUUGAAGUUGUAAUAGUAGGAAUUAGCUAAAUUAAUUAGAUUGUAAUUAAACUAGCAUUCUAUUUUUGCAUUUUCCUUUUUCUUUGAUUAAUUUCACCCUGUUAUGAGCAAUAUGCAUUCACUAUAGGAAAUUUGCAGAGUGGGGAAAAUAAAAUGGAGAGGAAGAACCACCACCCAAAGGGUAUCAUCAUUCUUUACUUUUAUUAUACUUCCUUUCUUCUUCUUUUUCUUCCUAUGUAAGACCUAUUUUAAAACUUUAGCAUAUACAAAAUUUGCUCUUCUUUCUACUGAUCACUUACUGUAAAGUUGGGUAUUUGGGGAGUUGAGGAGGGGGUUGGGUAGUAAUGCUGCCUUUCAUUCUACAUGCAAGACUUUGCAAUAGGAAAGAUACAACAGUUAUCUCAUCCAACCACUCAUCCUUUGAGAUUCUGAACCCCGAGUACUAAAGCUCCAGUGAUUCAUGUAGAAUUCAAAACUGAAUGACAAUAUGAACUUACUCUAGAUCUCUGAUUUUCUUCAGCAAUACCCUGAUGCCCAAGGAAUAUGUGACACUACUGUGUCUGGUCUGCCUGUCUUUAAAAGAGAGAUUCAGAGAGGGGCAGGAGAUAAUUUUCAAUCAUUUGAAUUUUUUUUCUUUUUAAGUGUUUAUUUUUUCUGUUUGCAUUUUCAGAUUUGGGGCUUUAGCAUAUUGCAGAAACGAGGACCACAUAGCUGUUUAUCUAUCUCAGUGCCAUUCAAGUUUCCCUACGAAACUGGGGGGCUCAGGGAAACUGAGCCUGUGACCCCAGUGUGAGAGAAGAUACGAUCAAGAUGGCCAUGUGGCAGGGUAAGAAAUUAGCACUUAUUCCUCUAACUGGUUGUUCUUUCUCCUCUAUCUUCC